GGUGGAGCGAGGUGGUCCCCGGUUGGUGGAGCGAGGUGGUCCCCGGUUAGCAUUGAGGCAGAUUCUUAACAUCCUCCUCUGUCUUUAGUUGGAGAAGGGGGGGGGGGGAAGAGCCACAGGGAGACCUACUGGAGGUUCUUCAGCCUCUGAGGUACAGGAAAGACCCGGGGGCUGAGCUGGCUGUGUGGGGAAGGAGGUGGUGCCAAGGUUCAGAGCCUCCAUAGUCUUUCAGGGCUAGGACUUAGAGAUGCGAGGUAAAGUGCAGAGCCCAGUAGCUGUGUUUGGAACCCAACAUAUCUCAAGGACAGAGUAUGGGCUGGACUGUGAUCCAAGCCUUGCUAGCGAGCGGCAACCCUGUGGACUUGGGCUGAGCACAGCCUUGGGAUUUGAAGGGGAAGAGCAGAGACCUCACACUGUACAGAGGCCAUGCCUGUCCCAGGCUAGUCCUGUCACCCAGAU
ensembl:processed_transcript Gm16046 predicted gene 16046